UGCUUUCUGAAGGUGCCAGAAGCUGAAAUGUCAGGCUGUGCCUGGGCAGAAACCAUUGAAAUCCUCUCUCAGCAUCACAUCUCAUCUCCCCUGAACAGCUCCAGAACAGUUGGUAAAAGCUGCAGCUGCAGCUCUCUCUGGCCUGGUGGUCCAGGACGGUAUAUAAAACCACCCAUGAUUCAGACACCUUCCAGCAGGUUCUCGUGACUUCUCCUCGGUGAACAGAGUCUACAGCACAGCUAAACGAUGUCUUGUGAGAAAACCCUGUGCACAGAGCCAUGUGCUGCUGUAGGCAAUGUGAAAGGCCCCGAGCCCUGCGCUGCUGCCUGCAGUGAGCCCUGCGUCAUCUCCUGCCCUGACUCCCGUGUCAUCAUCUUCCCACCACCUGUGGUCGUCACCAUCCCAGGGCCCAUCCUCACCACCUACCCACAAGAGACCAUCGUGGGCUCCACGGAGUCAGCCGAGCUGGCCAGCGCUCUGGAGUCAGGUGUAGCCAUCGGCUCAGCGCAGAAGGGGGCUGAGUGCGCAUUGCCCUGCGCUGAGCCCUGUGCCACAAAGCUUGUGACAAAGUGUGAGGCCCCGUGCGUGGCACCGUGUCCACCCCCCUGUCCACCUCCGUGUCCACCUCCGUGUCCACCUCCGUGCGUGCCCCAGUGCGUGCCCCAGUGUGUGCCCCAGUGUGAGCCACAGUGCGUGCCCCAGUGCGUGCCAGAGCGCUCCUACACUUAUUCCACCCAGUGGAAGCAUCCAUGCCAGAGAGCCUUCUGCAAGAAGCUCUAAUCAGCUUACCCCAGAAAACAAUCACAGGAAAACAGCAAGCAAAGGAGUGAACGAAUACGGAUCGUCAUUUACAGGCAUGGCUUUCAAGGUUCUUCCUACUACAGGGGGAAGCACCCCAAAAUCAGGACCUUGCUUCUAAUUCCUGUAUAGUGCUUUAGCUUAGAUUAAUGCUUUCUUUAUUCUUGUGGCUUUGCAUCUUACAUCUGUGCCUUUAACUUCCUCUACACAGUUUGACUUUGUGAUUUAAACAAACAAAAAAGCACACCUAGGGAUUUGAAUGUCACACUCAGCAAAAAUGAGGAAAAAGAACAUCUUGAUGAAAUGCACCACACUGGAAUGGGUAACUGGUUCUAGCUUUCCUUGUUUCUAGAAAUAUGUGCUUUUCUAGACUUCAUUAUUCUUUCUGCAAAUGUUUACUCCACUCUGCAUUCACA